rnacentral:lncRNA from 1 species
GAAGCUCAGGGCCCGGGUCUGCCUGCACUGGGGUCACCCUGUCUCUCCUGACUCUCUCCAGUUAUGUUCCCGUGCUCGGGGGCCUCGGAACACAGGAAACAGAACCUGCCUCACGUGCCCCCGGCACUAGGACGUCCUCGCCCUGCCCAGGAGAGCAUCUGCCCAACUCCCUGGACCCUGGAUCUCAGACCCAGACCCAGUGGGGGCAUGUUUGCUGACUGACCCUCUGAAGGGCUGUGGUUUGCCCUUUAACGAGACCCCAGGAUCUGCCACGGAGGGAGGCAGCCCUGGUCCCUGAGCAGGCCCUGUGCUGUCACCUGCUUCCUUGGGAGGGGGCACCUGUGCUGCUCUCUGUGGACGGCCCCUCUCCCACCGAACUGUCCUAGUGCCUGGAAGCACCCGGCCCUCCCGAGGGCCCUGGAGCAGGGGUGGGGGAGAAGUCAGGCACCUGCUGUGACCCUUGGUGGCACACAGUGUCCUGUAGGUUCCAGGACUCUGGGCACAGGUGGCAGCUUAUUCAGCAGGGGCACCCCUGGGGCCACACUGGCACCUAGGGGGCGGGCUCCCGUCACAGACUCUGGCCUAGAGAGCCUGCACUGCUGGAAGGGAUGUGCAGUAGAACCAGUCUUGUCCCUUGAAGUCCCCGUGCGAGCCUGCGCAUCCCUGCAGCCAGCUUCUGCACAAAGACAAGGCUGCCUCCCAACCACAGGGGCCGGCGGCAGGAGCUGGGCAGAGACCACUCCGGAUAGCACCCAACCACAGGGGCCGGUGGCAGGAGCUGGGCAGAGACCACUCCGGAUAGCACCCAACCACAAGGGGCCGGCGGCAGGAGCUGGGCAGAGACCACUCCGGAUAGGUGUGGGGUGACGACUUCACUGAGAAAUUUCCCAGCCCCUUCCUGGCUUAGCUUUGGGUUUGCUUUGCUCAGAGGCCGCUGGGAUGGGGGCAGACGAGGGUACUGGGGAGGGGCUGCCGGUGCACAUAGGCGGGGUGCUCCCAGCCCUGGGUUGUGGGUGGGGGGACCCACGUCCUCCCCGCGGCCAGAACCUGAGCGAGUGCUCCGGGGGCACCGGGGAGCAGUGGGCAUGGAGGUUGCGCCCAUUCCUGGUUGAUCCCUGAGAGCUGUGGAAGUCUGCGUCCACUCCCGUGUCGCCACUGGUGUUAGGUAUGGGCUUCCGUGUGAACACUGGUGUUCUGUGACAACCGCUCCAUCCCUCCCCCUCCCCCAGCCUCCUGGGCCGGGCCCUCCACUGUGUCACCUGGGGCCACAGUUACUGUGCAACUCCCCUCCACCGCCGCACUCGCAGCAGUGAGCGUGACCCCCAAGGCAGCUACCUCUCCAGGCAUCGCUGGGCCCAGGCCUGGCAGGACUCAGGGGGCUCUGAAGGAGGGAGGAGGGACACUGCCCCCGGCCCUCCCCCACAUAAAGACCAGCUUGGCCCUCUGCCUUCCCCCUCUCUCAGCUUGACCCCACUUGCCACAGAACCGCCCCACUGAACGAGUGUUUCAAACCAUUGGUGAGAAGGGGCCAGUGCCGCCGCCUGCGACACUGGCAUUGCAUACCAGAACACUGGUUUGAGUCCCAGCUGCUCUGCUUCCCAUCCCUGCCAAUGUACCUGGGGAGCAGUGGAAGAUGGCCGAGUACCCGGGCCCCUGCCAUCCAAGUGGUAAACCUAGAAGAAGCUCCUGGCUUUGGAUCAGCCCAGCUCUGGUCGUUGCAACCAUUUGAGGAGAAACCAGCGGAUGGAAGAUCUCUCCACCCCACCCCCCACAGCUCUGCCUUUCAAAUAAAUUUUUAAAAAAUUAAAAGUUCGGGGAAGCU